rnacentral:pre_miRNA from 1 species
UUACGAUGAUGAAGAUGAUGAUGAUGAUGAUGGCGAUGAUGGACAAUGAGGACCGGCUUACGAGUAACGCCAUCAUCAUCAUCAUCAUUAUCAUCAUCAUUAUCA